ensembl:lncRNA
AUAUAUGAUAAAUGUUGUACAUGCAACUAGUUUUUUGUAAAUAAAAAGAAAUAGUAAUUUCAUACAUUUUAACAAAUUAACCAUCAACUACAGAUGCUGCAUCCUUUGUGUCCACCAUCUUAUCUCAAUGACAUGCUCUCAUCUCGGAAAUCCUCAGUUUCCACUCGUAAUUGUGACAUUGUGGUGGCAUUCAUAUGUGUUCAACUCACGAAUACAAUCUUUUCUAACAUGACUUGAACACACCAUUAUUUUGCAGUUCAUAGGUGUUUUUUUAAUAUCUGGUUGGGGGGUGGGGGUUGUUGUUGUUUAGUGUUUUGAUAGAAAAAACGGUCUUCUGAUGAUUAAAGCUGUUUACUAUGCCAGUGUAGCUUCUUCAAUUUGAUGUGAAUCAGAGAAGUCUUUCAGUCUAAAUACAAUUCUAAAAAUGGCAUCAAAUAUCAUCAAUUAUUACUGUGUUAUAGAAUGUGUUUCGUAGCAUGCUUGUUGAUAAAGAAAAUUUUACACAUUCUGACAGGAAGAGAGGGAUGAAGAAGGAAACAUGGUGAACUGAAUAAGAAAGGAAGCAAGGGGAAUCCAGAGCCUGCUCCAGGUCUGUGACAGCUAUGCCCUAAAAAGGAAAUGAAGUCUGUGGGCAUGAUGGGAGGGGCACCCAAAUGAAAGAGAGAGGCAGAAGCACAGGCCAGGUAAUGACAGACAGGUCUCUCUCUUGGAGACGGCAGUCCCAACCAAUUAGCUGCCACCUUGUUUUAAUUUAUGACUGUGUGAAUGAAGCUGGGGGAAACCACAAGAAUCCCCAAUCUAAUUAGCUGUCCCGUUGACCAUUCUGUUUACUACAGAGACAUAGAGCAGAGGCUCCUCAUUUCUUCUCUCUCAGUCUGUGUUCCAGGAGGCCAGAGUGAGGAAUUAGUCUACAGAUAUGAUGAAAAAUUAGUUUGACCAGCUACAGCCACAGAACCAGUACUGUGAACAUUAAGGCUUCCAAAAAGAGAUGAUAUUUCCAUAAUGGAUGGAAUAUAUGGGUCAGGUGUUCUACUCGAGGGAAGAGCCUGUUGAAAUAACACAUUUAUCAUAUUCAAAUAUCUGUUCGUGUUUCCAGUAAUUAAUAUCUGUGAGGAACAUGGAAACUUGAGCAAAAUCGUUAAAUAAGAGCAUUUCUUGUCAAGAUAACAAGCAGAUUUGCAACAGCAAAUCACAAAUGGAGUCAAGUGUAAUCUCAGAAAAUGAAUUUCUCAACUCUGUGUUGAAAUUUCAUUUUAGUAGCAACAGAUAUUUUCUUUCAUAUUGUGACAUAUGUAGUGGUUUAUAGUCCAAGACUUGGUUCUGUCCAUCAGUUGAUUUGAAGGAGGCAGAUCUGAAUGUGAUCUCACAGUCAGUUGUUAGAAAGGAUUUAAGCUGACUAAAUAAUUGAUGAAUUUUGGUAUACGUCACCAGAGAGAAGUCUGAUCUUUAACUGGAUGGUUAUGAAAAUCUGAUUAAACAUAAGCUUAAAAAAAAAAAAUUGUUAACAGCAAGGUCAAUUACAUGCAUUUAGAAAAUAGGGGGAAUUUUAUAGCAGCUUUAAUUACUUUACCAAAUAGUUCAGUUCAUUUUGGUGUCACAACUAUUCAGUCUGGUCUCAUUGUUUAUAUGUAAGUAUUAAUAUGUAACAUUAACAAGUACAAAACAUACUUUUUUUAUUGAUUCUGAAACUUACAAAUGAGACGUAUUUUAACGUUUAAAACAUACAAAUUGUUACGUAUUUUUAGCUAAAAAACAUAAAAUAUUUACGCAUCUUUUAUAUCAAGAUGUUCGUAUCAAUGCAUUUUUAUCAUUUUAUCAAUAAGUGGUUUAGAUUUUUAAACCCCUUAACCUACCCCCAAACCUAAACCUACCCAUUUUAUAUCAAGUAUGCAUUUUUAUAAUUUUGUCAAAUGCAAUUUAGAUUUUUAGACCCCUUUACCUACCCAUUUUAUAGUCAAUAUAAAAGGAUAUAAAACGCAAUUGACCCAAAUAUGCAGGAAAAUAACCAUUUUGGUAACAAUAUAGCAUUAAAAAUUUUUUAUGGUCGUUAGUCCCACUCCUACCUCUAAACCUAAACAUAGCUAUUUCUGUACAGUAUAAAGCCUCGUGCAUAACGGGACGAUUAACGCGCGCUUAUCGCCAGCGUUUUUUCAAGACGUUUUUCAAUGCGUCUUGUGUGUUCAUUCUUUUUUACAGUCUGUGGUUCAUACCCAAGCGAUUUUCACUGGCGAUGAGCUGAGUGAAUGUGCAAAUUCACUCCCUGACAUUAGAUGGCGCUUAAUGAAAAACAGAAAUACCCACACAUCGAAUCCUAUUUGAUCUGCAAUUCCUCUCCAUAACAACUCCCUCUAAUCGAGAUUUUUGUACUCGCUGUCGCGUUAAUCAUAAAACUUUUUGUGUUCAGACACUAAUGAGACCAGCAGCUCUACAUUCAUCUUGCUUCGAUGCAUCUUUUUCGUCUACUUACUUCUCCUUCGUCGUUAGGUCAAUGUGUGCAAAUGCCCCAACCUCAUUGGUCAGCCAGUUUUUAACACUGCACAUCAAAAAAAAAAAAAAACGAGCCAGAGGUGUUUAAAAAAAAAAAUAGGCUUUUACGCCUGCCUUUUUGCAAGUCGGUAGGUUGUGUGAGGUGCAAAGCAGAAUUUAUGCUGUUAAUCGCUGAAAAUAUUAUCCAGAUAAUUUUCCCGAUCUACUCCAUGAACUCGUGAGGGCGUUCACAUCAUUCAAACACACCAAUCCCAACAGAAACACGGCAUGUCGCAGUCUGUGACAAAUGCAGGCAAGGGCCAAUGAGCGUUAGAUUUUCCUGCCGUAAAACCUGUCGUUUCAUGAAGCGUCAACAUUUGAAUUUGUAAAGAGCACGUCAGUCAGCGCGGGCUUUACUGUUUAUGGUCGCUGGACUCGCUGCUCGGGACAGAGAUGAAGAACACCGAAUAAAGGCUUGGAUUUG